rnacentral:misc_RNA from 1 species
UAAUGCCAUUUUCUUCAGACAAAUGAAAUGUAGAAAGAAACAUAAAGAAAUGAUAAAAAUAUGUCUCUGUACCGACCUAAGGUUGUAGAAACUAUUAGAAAAUUGUAAAGUGUUCAGUGUUGUACACUGAUCAGUGACGGCGCAUUGUGUACAUAGGUCAGCAUACUAUUAAAGUCUGUACAUCACAAUAUGGGUUAUAUAUUAGCUGCCAGUCUCAACAAUUGGGAAGAUAAACUUGCUUCAGAUCAAGAGAACCAGGUGAUUUCAGGGGUUACUGCAGUAGCUGUUAGACCUGGUCAGCUGUGCCUGGGAUAUUCGACUGGUUUUAUUAAACUAUUCUAUAGAACUAAAUCGGAACAUUUAUCUCUACAUUGGGCCAAGGGAAUACUACCAGGCCUGCAGAUAGAACACCUUGGUUUCAAUGAUGAGGAAACCUAUCUAGUUGUUGCUGGUGGCCAACAUGAUACUCAGGGGGACAACGUUAAGAAAAGGGGGGUCGGAGCAAUUGUCGACGUUCUAAGUGGAGAACUGUGCUGGUUCACUGACUUGCUGGAGGAAAUUACCUCAGUUUGCUGGGUUGGACACAUUCUUUAUAUUGGAGGGAAGUUUGGAAGUGUUUGUUUAGUGGAUACCAAGGAAUCAAAUAUUCCUCCUGCAAAGCAGAUUCUAGCAUUAGAUAGUGAAGUUGUUCAGAUUGCAGGAGAUCAAGAUCUGCUAGUCUGCAGUACAUUAACCAGAGCUGUGGUUUGCAAUCAUAAACAUAAAUCCUACAGAGAAAUAGGAAGUAAAUUGCGUCAGGGCAAACAGGGCGUGGCAGUUCAUGGUGGUCGGGUGUGGUCCGCCCGACCUGGUUGCAGGUUAUGGGAGGUUGAUGUGGUGACAGGAAAUGUUUUGGCCACUCGACAAUACAGGCGUAUUAUCCAUGAGCAUGCUGAGAACCCUGUGUAUGGUUGUAGUAUCGAAGAUAAGAAAGAGACCAAGGAGAUAUCAGGAAUUGAACAUGGAUUUUCUCUUCUCAUGGGAACAGAAUCCACUCUUGUCAGUUGGAAUGAGUUUGGAUAUAUAUACAUACUGGAGAUGACCACCUCAACUGUUCUGGCCUGGACCAAGCUUAACUUCAACAUAAAAAGUAUCAGUGGGACAGGUUCUAUACUCUUGGUUCUUCUACACUCUGGAGAUUUAAUACACCUCACCUUUGGAACUCUAGAGUUUAUGCUUGAGUCAAGUUACAGUAUUGAUAUGUUUGAGAGCUGUGCUGACCUGCUUGUACAGAACAGAAAGCUUAUCAGAACACUUUCACAGAAUGAUUUGAGAAGAAUAAUGAAACUUAAAGACCUUAGUUCCAGACUUAGGGAUCAGACAAAGGCUAAAAAGGUUUUCAAGCUGAUGGAUGCUGUUGAGAGAUUAGGAUUGUCCUUGGAGAGAUUAGACAACAGAUCCUUGUCCCAGGAUCGAAACUCUCGUCUUCACUCCAGCUCAGAAGUUUUGCGCCGAGAUGAGAUCAAAUCAAGCAAAAGUCAAUCUCAGGAGGAUCUUCUGGAUGGAGGAAAGCGUUGGAACAGGUUCAGAGAUUUAUCGGGCUCCAGGCGGAAAAUAUCUGCAAGUGAACAAGGUUUGCAGGCUCUGCAGCUCUACGAUAUAAAGUUUGGAGCUAGAGACAGUUUAAGUGGUGCAAGUAGUAUUAAAAGCUCAGUAGAUAGUUUGAUCAAUGGAAGAUGUGAUGUAGAAACUGCAGACAACAUUAACCAGGCAACAGAGAAGUUAAAAGAACGAUUAGAAGAACAAGCCAGAGAAGCAGGAAUAUAUAUAAAUGUUAAUCAGAACUAUGAAGAGAACUCAACCAUGCUUCUUCACAACAUGGAAAUAGAUCAAAAAUCUGAAGACAAUGGCGGAGAAAUAUUAGAAAUAGUAGAAGAUGAAAAUGUUUUGAUCAACCAGGAAGAUCCAUAUGCUUGCUUGGAUCUACUCAGCCAAAACAACCGGAUUAAGAAACCCCAAGAAGAAACCAAUGGAGUAGAGAGCAGGGAUAGAUAUAAAGUUUUUGAGCUAAUAACUGAACCCUCAAGAAUGCCUGAAGAGAGGUUUGGUGAGGGACCUAUAAUACCUUCUAUGCAGGAAACCAGUAUUCUUGGGGACGUUCUUGUCUCAGGAAUGGAGAUUCUACUGGAGAGGGGCGGAAAGAUAUUGGAGGGAGGAUCCCACCUCUCCAGUUUGAUGGAUGGAACCUCCAAUAUAUCCCGGAUAAUUGAGCAGAGAAUGGAGAAACGGAUGGAGCUUGAUAGUCCACGUUUAGGGUUAUCUAGGAGAAUUCAGGAGGAGCUGCGUGGUACAGAACUGCAGAGCAAGGUUGACGAACUGGCUCGUCUCUUUCAUCAAAUAUAUUCUAACCCAGAGUUCAGAUUGGCGAAUACGAAAUCCUUAGGAAAUGCUCUUCGAGAACUUUUUCUAGAUUUUAAGAAAGAGAACGACGAUGUUGAGUAUUUAGAUAUCUCUGGUUAUUUAACAGAUGUCCAUAAAGUAAAAAUUAUGAAAGGGCUGGAGGCAGUAUUUUCUAAUCCUAGCCUAGUUUCCAGACUGUUCAGCCCUUUACACGAGGCAGAGCCUUGGGCAACUGCCGCGCCGGAUUAUAUUUAUCAACAGCUGAUCCCUAUCUUUACUCAGUCAGCUGUUGAUUUUGAUUUAUUCAUUGCUAAAACAUUAGUUUCAUUUUCUGAAAUGCUCCCAUGUGAUAAAAUAGUGGAAAAUCUAGAUGUUACAAACUAUUACACAUACAAAUAUAUUCUUAGUGUUGAUGCUGAGAUGAGAAAAGAGCUUAGUCCGAUAAUGCUGGAACAGAUAGACUUAGAGAAUGUGUUUUCUUGUGCUAAUUUUCUAGCUGGAUAUCAGGAUAUAGAACUCCUUAAUCUAGUCAGAUACCUAGAGCGUAUUCUAUCAAUUAACUCAGAGUGCUGUAUUCACAUUAUUCAAAGUCAGACUUUAAUAUUGCCACCAAGCUGUCUUCUCUUCCACACAUUUAAGUACCUGGAGUACCUUUAUACAUCAAUCUCAAUACCAGGAUGUGUUGACUUGAUGAGUGAACUUGAAACUGAAUGGUUUUCAUAUUUUUGUCGAGCUCUAGCUGUUCAUAUUCCAGGUUGGCCACGUGAGUGGAGUGAUCUGUGUAAACAACAUCCUUCCUUCUUUAAUUUUAUAAAUCAAGCAUUUAAAGCCACAAACCUUUCCUACCUCAACAAGUAUCCAAACAUUAAAGGAUCUCACAAAAGCUUGGAAAACCUUGAAUUAUUUCCACUAGCCAACUUUCUGAUGAUUGAAUCUGGUUUGACCAGCCCCCCAGCCCAGCUAGCCUGGUCUAAACUCAACUCAUUCAUGCCAAGUUACGCCAGGUGCAUGCUUGUGUAUAAGAAACCCAUAGACGAGGAGAUACCUCUUCUCAUUGAACUAGGAGAUUCAGAUCUAUUGGCAGACCUAGGCCUGCUCUCUGCAGAGUGCUCGAUGAAGGUUGCAGAACAUAUUUUACAAGUGUAUAUAAAGGAUGAAUGCCCGCUAACCUGGAAUCUAUUUUCUGAAUGUCUGCUUAGAUGCUCUGGCCCGGUCAUCACGUUUCAAGUUCUAUUGAAACUGUCUCCUCUACUUAAACCUGGUGAUAUAGAGCACAGUUUCUACUGUAAGCUGCUGGUUUCUUCCUUACAGUAUAACAGAGCUGGAAGUAUUGCAGAUAAUUGAUUUAUUGAAGGAUAUCCCAAUCUGACUUUUAUAGGACGAGUUGUAUGGGAUGAUCCGGUUACUUCAGUUGUUUUUGGGAGGAUUCGGUUUCUACCGGGUUUUUUAGGAGGAAUGAGGAUCCCAUUUUUCAAGGGAUGUAGUUCCUCAGUUAAUAAUCAAUCAGUGGAUCCUUAAAAUAUUUUAAGCUUUUUGUUUAUAGAGUUAUUUUUGAUUCCCAUUAAUCAAGAAUUAGUAUAAAGUAUAAAGCAAUAAAUUUUACUUCUGUA